rnacentral:tRNA from 4 species
AAAUAAGAAGCGAAAUAUUGCAAUCAGUUUCGACCUGAUAUUAUGGCAUAAUAUGCCCUUAUUUA